rnacentral:lncRNA from 1 species
CAAAGGAGAUAAGUGAAGACGUGCAAAGCCUUGCUAAACAGGACCCAUGGGGGAGAGAUUUGAAGAAGCCAUCAGGGUUUUGACUAGAAGGCAGGGGUCCUCAAAGCUGUGAAAGUCUGAUCUAUCAGAGGUGGCUGCCAAGCUGUGCUUUCUUCUGCAGAUGGCAAAAGAAAAAGAUGUGAAACAAGACAUGUUUAAAUGGAAGAGAGAGGAAUGAGAGAGGAAGGCAAGAAUACAAAUAUUUAAGAAAGCUUUAUUUUCCUGAAGCAAAGAAUGACACUUGAAACCGAGGGAAUCUCAAUGUCCACCUUGCAUUUCCAUGACCAGCAAGAGAGGGGAACCCCUACAGGUAAU